rnacentral:rRNA from 1 species
AAGGUACGGGAGGCAGCAGUGGGGAAUAUUGCGCAAUGGGGGCAACCCUGACGCAGCCAUGCCGCGUGAAUGAAGAAGGCCUUCGGGUUGUAAAGUUCUUUCGUCGGGGGACAAGGCUCUGCUUGGUGGUGGGGUUGAGGGUACCCGGUGAAGAAGCGCCGGCUAACUACGUGCCAGCAGCCGCGGUAAUCCUU